rnacentral:rRNA from 1 species
CGCUGGCGGCACGCCUAACACAUGCAAGUCGAACGGUGUAUUGGAGCUUGCUCUAAUGACAUAGUGGCGGACGGGUGAGUAACACGUGAGCAACCUGCCUUUUGGCGAGGGAUAGCUUCUGGAAACGGAUGGUAAUACCUCAUAAUAUAGCUUGAUCGCAUGGUCGAGUUAUCAAAGAAUUUCGCCAAAAGAUGGGCUCGCGUCUGAUUAGAUAGUUGGUGAGGUAACGGCUCACCAAGUCGACGAUCAGUAGCCGGACUGAGAGGUUGAACGGCCACAUUGGGACUGAGACACGGCCCAGACUCCUACGGGAGGCAGCAGUGAGGGAUAUUGCACAAUGGGGGAAACCCUGAUGCAGCGAUGCCGCGUGGAGGAAGAAGGUUUUCGGAUUGUAAACUCCUGUUUCGAGGGACGAUAAUGACGGUACCUCGGGAGGAAGCUCCGGCUAACUACGUGCCAGCCGCCGC